ACGGACGCUGGCGGCGUGCCUAAUACAUGCCAGUUGAGCGCUGAAGGUUGGUACUUGUACCAACUGGAUGAGCAGCGAACGGGUGAGUAACGCGUGGGGAAUCUGCCUUUGAGCGGGGGACAACAUUUGGAAACGAAUGCUAAUACCGCAUAAAAACUUUAAACACAAGUUUUAAGUUUGAAAGAUGCAAUUGCAUCACUCAAAGAUGAUCCCGCGUUGUAUUAGCUAGUUGGUGAGGUAAAGGCUCACCAAGGCGAUGAUACAUAGCCGACCUGAGAGGGUGAUCGGCCACAUUGGGACUGAGACACGGCCCAAACUCCUACGGGAGGCAGCAGUAGGGAAUCUUCGGCAAUGGACGAAAGUCUGACCGAGCAACGCCGCGUGAGUGAAGAAGGUUUUCGGAUCGUAAAACUCUGUUGGUAGAGAAGAACGUUGGUGAGAGUGGAAAGCUCAUCAAGUGACGGUAACUACCCAGAAAGGGACGGCUAACUACGUG
rnacentral:rRNA from 1 species